AUUAUGGAAGUUCUUUAUUGAUCGCCAAAAUGGGUUAGGUAUACCUGUUAGACAUAAAUUCUGGCCAGAAUUCUAUGCUUUAAUUAAAUAGUGUCAAGGGAUUGAUCGCAGCAUAUUGAUCCAUAACUGAACAUUUUAUCCAUGAAGUCACAGGUCCAGUGAGUCAUCAUUGCCUAGAAUACCCUACUUCAAACAAUGAAACUCACUUUCAAUCUAUCAUCAUCUUUCACUCUUCAGUGAAACCCCAUGUAGCUUCCAGAUGUGGUUUCAGGAUUUCUCUAUAUUGUUGGAGAGCAUUUAGGGCUCAAGAGAAAUCAUUGCUGCUUUAGCGCCUGGAGAAGAGCUACAGCUCAGGUGUUCAAUAGAAGAGAUGCACACAGGCAUCUAUGUUGUCAGCAAGCUAGCACUAUCAAAGCAUCUGGAGACAACAAUAGGAGUCAAGGAUACCAUCUCUAGCACAGAUCCCCGAACAAGAACCUGAGACCUGCCGAACAGCAGGUGCCAAAGAUGCUGCUGUAACACCACAGCCCUCCCAUCUUCCAUCCUCCACUGGCGCUGAGUGGCAGUCCCAUGUGACAGGAAGUGGAGGCAGAGCUGGGCCAGCCCAGGAGCCACGUGCUGGAGCCAGAUACUCUGUUUUUCUACAAAUGGAAAGUUUGUGGCAUCCUUGACUCAAGCAAAUUUUUCAGCACCAUUUUUCAAGAGCGUGUGCUCACUUCACCUCUCUGUAUCGUGUUUUGAUGCUUGUCCUGGAAACCAACCAUGAGCUGUGAUGAAAUCCAGGCAACUGAGUUGUGUUUCAGCCCAAAGCAGCAAAUGGAAUCCAGCUUCAGGACCAUCAUCUGACAUAGGGGAAGAAGACUUACAUAGAAGGCCUAACCAGCACCCAAGAUCAUGCUCAUAGGUGGAGGAGACUUGCUUUGUCUCAGAUGAGACUUUGGACUGUGGACUUUUGAGUUAAUGCUGAAAUGAGUUGAGACUUUGGGGAACUGUUGGGAAGGCAUGAUUGGUUUUAAAUAUGAAUAUAUGAGAUUUGGGAGGGGGUCAGGGGUGGAAUGAUAUGGUUUGGCUCUGUGUCCCCACCCAAAUCUCAUCUUGUAGCUCCCAUAAUCCUCCCAUGUUGUGGGAGGGACCCAGUGGGAGAUGAUUGAAUCAUGAGGGCGGGUCUUUCUCAUGCUGUUCAUGAUCCCAUUCAUGUGAGAAAGACCCAUGUGAUCAUGAAUGGGUCUCACAAGAUCUGAUGGUGUUAAAAAUGGGAGUUUCUCUGCACAAGCUCUCUGCCUGCUGCCAUUCACAAAGGAUGUGACUUGCUUCUCCUUGCCUUCUGCUAUGAUUGUGAGGCCUCCCUAGCCAUGUGGAACUGUGAGUCCAAUUAAACCUCUUUCUUUUGUAAAU
rnacentral:lncRNA from 1 species